UAUUAUUCCAGUAAAUAAUCAACACAUUUAGCAUGAUACAGAUUAAUUCGUAAAAAAAAAAAAUGCCUUCUAUGUAUGUAUAAUACAUCAUCUUAACUAUCAAGCGGCAUUUAAUAUCCAUUCUAAAUCCUGUACUUACUUUCAUUUUUUAAACCUCAUAUUUUUGUCCAGUUUUUUUUUUUAUUAGAUUUUUUUAAUUUUGUGUAGACGGAAG